GGGCACUAUGCGCGCAAGCAUGCGUACUGUCCUAUCCCUGGGCACGACAUGGGGUCAAGACUUGCUUGCGUCACUUCGCAUGCAAACAGGUGCCAAACACUGUGCGUGCGCCGUUCACGCAGCAGGCUUGUGCGGAUAGGCACUGUGCACCUGGGGCCUUCGCACAAGCUAGCCUUUGCGAGUGCGACAGGAGGCCUGUGCACCUGUAGUGUGCUGGCCAGGGCACUGCCACCUCAUGCAGUGCACCACUGUUGCCUUGGACGGCACGCCGCCUCCGCCCGUGGAGGAGGCCCUCCUCCCUAAUUCUUCAUUGGAUUUUGCCACUUGUUGCAAAUUUGAUAGCUCAAAA
rnacentral:lncRNA from 1 species